rnacentral:lncRNA from 1 species
UUUUUCCCCCUGGUUAUUUUCUAGAUAAACCAUUUGCACAGAGCUGUGUGUGUCGGCACAUGCUUAAUUUCCCUGGCAUCUGAUAAAUGUUUUGAAAGACAGUAAUGCUGGAAGCUCUUUUCAUUACCUUAAAGUGCUUUGCGUAAAUAGAAUUGAUUCUUUUCCUCGACUGCUGUGGUGUUGCUGCUUUUUUUUUUUUUUAAAUGGAUAAGCUCACUCUAACUAGCUUCCCUUCUUAUCACUUCCAUCCUGUUCAGCCAUCUUUUCUGCUCCUUCCUGCAACGUUUGCUGGCAAAUGAGAUUUCAUGGUUCCGCUUGGCUGCACAGGUGUCUGUGAGACCUCCCUAAUUGUGGGAUGGGAACUGGGCAUCCCUGGUCUAUAAGAAGAGAGCUAUGGAGUGGGGAG